GCCGACUGAGUAUUCUAGCCACUGACUAGAAGGUUAAACUCCAUCACCACAUUGCCUUGUGGUCUAGUGACCUACAUCACCACUGACUGGUGUGGUAAGCUCCCUUCCUGCCUGGCUGACAGUGACACACCCAACACUUGCUUCUCCAUGUUUUCUUCACUAACCAUCUCCUCUUCAGGUGUCUCUGUGGACCCGUGGGUGAAGUCCUAGAGAAGCAUGCACCAGCCUGAGAAGUGCACCUAUCUGUUCAAUAGACCUGAGAGUCAUUUUUCUGACACUGGGCAACACUGGGCAGGUGAGAUUGGGUAUCGGCACCUUGUCCCCGCUGGGGACAUUUCUGCCUUUGGCAUGCUGUCCCUGCUUCUCUGCACACAGUGUCCCCAAGUCUGAUUUCUGAAUGACUAUAAAUUGCUCCCAGGAAGCUUUUGAAGUCAAGCACCUAUUUUUGAGCUGACCCUCUGUGGUCACCUCAUGAUGGAGAACCCAGGGCAGCUUCUUUUCUCUUCCACACGCAGGGCGGUUCUCUUGGUUUUUAUGAUCCAGGCUCCCAUAGAUAGACCUGUUCUAUUUUUAGCUCUUCCUCUGCCACCUCCCGUACUCCAGUCUGCAUGUUUGAAAACAGUGGUUAGAAUAUACCAUUUAGUUUGUUUUUCUUCUAUGAAGAGGAAGGAAAGAGUAGUGUAGCAUUGUGGCUGAAUAGUGAAGGGUUCCUCACAGCUGUUCAAGGAUGUAUGGUUUUAAGCCGGGCGUGGUGGCGCACGCCUUUAAUCCCAGUGAAGAGAGUCAGAUUCCCAUCACGCUCCGGGACAUGUUCCAUGAAGCCCCCUCAUCUGUCAUGUUCUCAGAGGUCAGUGAAACAGAAGAAUCAGAAAUGCUGAUUGGUCAGAGUGAUGGACUCAGAAAUGACUGGUCAAGGUUGUCACUGCAGUCCUGACAGAACUUCUGUAGACCAUUCCUUGAAGGUGCUGCUGGCCGAAGGAUCACCCUGCUCCCAGCAGCCUUGCUCUGGGGCUGGUCACUCGUUCCUUUCCAGUCAGACUGCUGCUCCACACUAGGUAGACUGAGCCA
rnacentral:lncRNA from 1 species